UGAUGGCUAAAAGAAAUGACUAUCGAAAUGAAGAAACAUUUUGGGAUGCUCUUCUUGCCAUCUUUCAUGCAUCAUUCUCCAUAUAUUUUCUAGACGAAAAUAGUUUGAUUCCUAGAAAAAAAAGUGCAAUUGUGUGAAGCCGGAACUUGGCAGUGUGUUGAGAUUGACAGUAGCGCUGGCAAUUAAUACAGUUACGUAGCAAGAAGAUAUUAUGACUAUGCAUGUGCCCACCAGUACAAAGGCAA